AACAAACGCUGGCGGCGUGCCUAAUACACGCAAGUCGAACGGGGAAAGCUUUCGGGUGAGUACUAGUGGCGCACGGGUGAGUAACGCGUGGAUAAUCUGCCUUAGAGUGGGGGAUAACUAGUCGAGAGAUUAGCUAAUACCGCAUAAGACCACAAGAACUGCGGUUCAAGAGGUCAAAGGUUUUUCGCUCUAAGAUGAGUCCGCGUAAGAUUAGCUAGUUGGUGAGGUAACGGCUCACCAAGGCAACGAUCUUUAACUGGUCUGAGAGGAUGAUCAGUCACACUGGAACUGAGACACGGUCCAGACUCCUACGGGAGGCAGCAGUAGGUAAUAUUGCACAAUGGAGGAAACUCUGAUGCAGCGACGCCGCGUGAGUGAUGAAGGCCUUCGGGUCGUAAAGCUCUGUCGCAGGGGAAUAACACAAUGAAUGUACCCUGUAAGAAAGGAUCGGCUAACUUCGUGCCAGCAGCCGCAGUAAAAC
rnacentral:rRNA from 1 species